GCUGGGCAUAGUGGUGUGUGCCUGUAAUCCCAGCUACUUUAGGAGGCUGAGGUGGGAGGAUCGCUUGAACCUGGGAGGCAGAGGUUGCAGUGAGCCAAGAUCACUACACUGCACUCCAGCCUAGGUUACAGAGUGAGACUCCAUCUCAA
ensembl:misc_RNA Metazoa_SRP Metazoan signal recognition particle RNA